GACGAACGCUGGCGGCGUGCCUAAUACAUGCAAGUAGAACGCAGUUGCGAACGGGUGAGUAACGCGUAGGUAACUGCCUCAUCGCGGGGGAUACCUAUUUGAAACGCUAGCUAAUACCCCAUACUUUGAGAUGGACCUGCUUUGUAUUAGCUAGUUGGUGAGGUAAAGGCUCAACAAGGCGACUAUACAUAGCCGGCCUGAGAGGGUGAUCCGGCAAACUGGGACUGAGACAAGGGCCAGACUCCUAAGGGAGGCAGCAGUAGGGAAACUUCGUAAAUGGAGGGAAGUCUGACCGAGCAACGCCGCGGGAGAGAAGAAGGGUUUCGGAUCGGAAAGCUCCGUUGUUAGAGAAGCGGUAACUAAACAGAAAGGAACGGCUAACUACGUGACAGCCGCCGCGGUAAUAC
rnacentral:rRNA from 1 species